AGCAAUUAUGUUUGAAUCAAAUGGGGCGCGGUCUCAGUUUGUGCUCGCCUAGCUACUAGCUUCUUCAGUCCCUCAUCAUUGCAUUAUAGCAUGCACUCAAGGGCUUAAAAAAAUGAUUAAUGAAAAGUACCAAUCUGUCUCCAAGCUCGCUGUAUCCUUCUCUUCUAUGUGAACACACAACCUACAUGUGUAAAAGCCGAUUGAAAGAAAACCUCCAUAACUAUUCUAUCCUGUCUAUUUGAGAUACACCAAGCAACGGGGAAGCCCUCACCAAACUCAUUCACUACCAUAACUGUGAUUAAAGUGAAGUUGUAUCCAUUCGUACCAUGUGUAUCAUCA